AAAAUUAUUUAAGUUGCUCAAAUUUAAGGUUGAGAUUUUAAUUUUUAAAAUUUUAAUUAACCAAACUUGGCAACCGAUGGGGUAGUUGUAGCUUGUACCUUGUAGGGAGUUGUAGCACACUGGCGACACUGUCUGCAAGUGCAAGACCACACAACUAACCAAUGUCAACAUUGCUAGUGGUGCUACUGUGCUAGUGCUAGUCUAUAUAAGUAUAUAUGGUUGUUUAAUGUUUACAACUAAUUCAAAAUGAGCUCUGAGUCCUCUGACGAAGUCGAGGAAGUUUCGUCAAGCCAGGGCCAGGCUAAGCGAAAGAAAACUCAAGACAGUAAGUCAUCCUCAAAAAAACCAAGACAGUUUAAUCCAGAUUGGCUAAAUGAGAAUAAGCAUCCAAAAUUUGCUAAGUCUCACUUUGGCGUCACAGAUCGCUAUGCGUUGUAUAAUAUGAAAGUUGACGAUUAUUGGAAAGCAGUUCUCUCUACUCUAAAUCCUUGCGGUGAACCCGUUUUCCCUAAUCUAACUGAGUGCAUGUACCUCUUGUUAUGUUUGCCAUUUAGUAACGCAUCAGCCGAGAGGGUAUUUAGUCAUUUGAAGGAAGUCAAGGAUGAUAAGCAAAAUCGGCAGGAGACUCCUACUACUGAUGCAAUUCUCAAAGCAAAAUUUUGGAUGUUGAAUGAAGAAAAGUCAGCUUCAAAAAUCCAAUUUCCAAAAGAACUUGUCAUUUUAGCCAAAAAUGUUAAAUCGAACGCACCAAUUAUCCAUGAAUAGUGCGCCGUUUUCCCUCAUUCGUUAACACAGAAUACCAAAUUUAGAAAUUGUUUUUAACACUUACAAGCAAUGUUUAACCUGUAACUUUAAUUUGAGUGUGUUUUAAUUGAUACAUAAACAAGAAUUAACGCUUUUCAACCUUUUAAAACGUUUUUUUGUAUUAAAAACUAAAAAAAAUUUGGUGGUGAUUUUCUGGUGUUUUUGACUUUGGCGAAUGGUGAUUUUUCCGAAAAUCUGGCAACUGUUUGGGAAUUUCGACUACCAAGCAAGUGGGCACACUGAUCGCUACUGUACAGUCAAUGGCGGCAUGGCGAAGACGCGCAUUGGAACUUGGAAGUGGAUGCAUGUGCGACUUGAUGUGGCCUUGCAUGUGGGAGGCUCAAUACUAUUUCUGGACCUUUCAGAAUCUUAUAAUUGGCCAAAAGCUCUUUUCCAGACAGUGGCUUCUCAUUUCUAUUGUCAUACCAGCGAUCAGAUUUGAUGUUUCGAAUUGUUUUGGGUUGCUAAAGCAAGAUUGACUUUCUACGAUGCUUCCACCAACGUGCAUGGUCGCCAAACUUUUUCGUUGUGUCGGACUGUAAAUCCGGAAGAUAAACGUCGAAUUAUUGGCGAUAUGUUUGUCAAAGUGAUAGAUAGAACGGCUAACGAUUUAAAUGUCACUUGGGAUAAUCUACUUCUCGGACAAGUUUCUUUGAGACUGGAUUUAAUUGGGGCCGCUUCGCAUAUGGUUUCUUCGCGCGCUGAUGCCAUAAAGACUCAUCAUAACGAUUCCGAAAUGAUUCGUCAGUUGCGCAUUUACGGUCGUGUAGUAGAACCUCUUAAAGAUUUCAUUUCCAUAAAGAUGAAGUAAGGUCUUAGGUUGUGAGCUGGGUCUGUCCACAGUAUUACUGGAAUAUCACCCAUUUCCUGGGGAUUGAUUGAUGAUACUUGUUGAUUAAUCCACGAAGAAUGGAUAACUGGAGGGUAAUAAAAGUUUAAAAUGUAAUUCCUCGUGGCAUUUUCAUUCAUGCAUACGGGGCAGCUCGGGAGCAGACAAACCAUUGAAAGGGCCUUGCGUAGUCUAGCUGCAUCCAGCCAGAUACUAGUAGAACCCAAAACAUUGUUUUGACAAGUACUGUCAUAUUUCGGUUGCAGGUUUUCACUAAAUACCAAGCUGAUCCUACGAGCUACGACAGUUUUACCUACAAAUGUUUAGCCGUUUCGUGCUGCAACUAGUAUUCUAUUUUCUAGGAUGUAAUGCCUAAAAUUGGAAUUCAGCUAUCAGAGAUUAACAAAAUUCAAGCGGAAACUCUAGAUGGCAUUUUUGUGCGUUUAUGAUGAAGAUUAUGAGUGACAAGUUUAAUGGGUGUUUGUUUCGUUACGCUGUUAUGUGUUUCAAAGGAUUUUUCGUCAAAAAUUUACGAUUGCUUUUUGUCUGUGUUGGUGUUUCGCCUUGUCAGCUAUGCUAGCUGCUGAACCAGCAGCCUGCAUUCCUGCUAUCAAUGUACCAUAAGAGAUCCUGACAUUUUGAGAAGGCCACUAUUGCUUACAUGAAGAUCACCAUCCAGUUCAAGUACUGUUAAUGGACCUCAAGCCUUUUGUUUAAGUUUAGUGAUGUGUUCUCUCGUCAGUCAACGACAGAGUCUUCAUCUACUUUGUGUUGCUAACCAUCCACCCUCAGCAUCCCAGGUAUCCAGAUUUCCAAGUUUCUCUGAUUAGCCAACCAUCAUCAAAACCCUUCAGCUCUUCAAUGUGGCUUCUCUUCCUCUCUUCUUAAUCUGCUGAAUGCCAACAUUGAAUAAGAUUCAUCAUCAUUGCCUUUCCAUGCCAGCUCACAUGGAUAGGCUUUAACAGCAUCUCCAUUUUUUGGACUGCAAAUAUUCAUCUUCCUUCGGUACGACUCUGCCGUUUUGACAAUUUCGGCAGUUUCGCCCCCAGUGGACCACACGCAACUACAUUUUCUUCGUCUUCCUGUCGUUGUUGUCUACGACUUCACCUCAUCGCUGUCUUCGUUGAUGUCUUCGCCUUCAUCUCCGUCUCGUCGUCUUAGUCGUCUUCUCCUUCAUCUCCGUCUCGUCGUCUUAGUCAUCUUCGCCUUCACCUCCGUCUCGGCGUCUUCGCCGUCUUUGUCUACGCCAUCACCUCGUCGCCGGCUUCUCUUUCGCCCUUCACGUUGGGAUUACAUUACAGAAACAGAACAUGAAUCAGUAAAAAAUUCUUUGUGAUACUCAUUUAAAAUAGUAAAACAUCUAGUAAAUUGUGAUCCAAUUCUCCCGCUCAAGAUAUUCUUUCCACAAAUAAAACCAAUAGAAAUCAGUAAGAUAUCAUGAAGAUAUAAAUAAUAGAAGUAAAUGAUGCAGCAAAUAUUCAUACUGCUCUCUCUUUUUACCAUGUCACCACCACUCAGAGUGUAAUCUAUAUUAAUAUAUCUUUGACCUAUCUUUGCAAUGACA